GGAUUAGAUACCCUGGUAGUCCACGCCGUAAACGAUGUUCACUAGUUGCUGGAGCCCUUGGCGGCCUCAGUGACGCAGCUAACGCAUUAAGUGAACCGCCUGGGGAGUACGGUCGCAAGAUUAAAACUCAAAGGAAUUGACGGGGACCCGCACAAGCGGUGGAGCAUGUGGUUUAAUUCGAAGCAACGCGAAGAACCUUACCUAGCCUUGACAUCCCAAGAAGUCUGCGUAACUGCGGAUGUGCCCUUCGGGGAACUUGGUGACAGGUGCUGCAUGGCUGUCGUCAGCUCGUGUUG
rnacentral:rRNA from 1 species